rnacentral:lncRNA from 1 species
AUGGCACGGUUUGGCACAUCUUCAGCUAGACUUCUUAUGGUCAUGGUUGCUGCAUUAUUUUAUGUGACCAAAACUAUGGCACAGAAUACCGCCACACCACCUGCCCCGUUACCGGUGACCGGAGCCGGGUUUGCUUCUCCGGUUUCCAUGGCGUUGAUCUGUUCUUCUAUGUUGGUCUCUCUUACAGCUGCUUUUUCUUUUUGCUAG